AAAAUUAGCCCUGCUCCUGACUGGAAGCCUUCCAGAUAGCAUAAACAGUUCAAUUAACAUAUAUUUAGUAUGUGAUAUGUAUUAUAUACCAUAUUCUUACAAUAGAGUAAGCUAGAAAAAAAGGAAAUGUUAUUAAGAAAAUCAUAAGGAAGAGAAAAUAUAUUUACUAUUCAUUGAGUGGAAGUGGAUCAUCAUAAAGGUCUUUAUACUUAUUGUCUUC